UUCGUUGUUGUUAGCAAGGCUCGCUAGGCUGGGCAAACUAAAGUUUGCUUAGAUCUUCGUAUGAUUGUGUUUUGGAUCUUUUGUUAUUUAGACUAAAGGAGAAAUGACACAGACAAACAGUAAUUUUAUUGUUUAAGAUUAAAUUAUGUUGGUGUGGGGCAGGUGGUGGUGGUGCAUCAACAAAUUUCUGAGAAAACAGCAAGUUUUUGUGUUGGAUGUUAUUAGUGAGAUUACCAAGGGUAAAUAAAUAUAGAAUGCACCACAUUACCGUUAUGCAAAUAUUUUAAAACAGGAUGUUGAACCUGGGCAAGUUCAACUCUUGAAAGGAAUGCUGCAUCAGUUUUGUUCAACCUCACAAAGACUGAACAUCUCAGAUUUACCAAUCCUCCAACUGAAUGACCAUCAACAGGCAAUGAGACAGUGCAGUCAGUUCGGCCACAAUGUCUGCGCACAUCAGUGUAACCUAUGGGAGUUGAGUGACUACAUUUGAGUUGUUGCUCAUUGUUUCCCCUUCAGGUCAACAUCAAGACCAGACAUGGAAUAACUUUACCUCUCGUUCCAUUUGGAUGCGGGAAUUGAUCUGAAUCAACGACCAAAGCACUACCGUUAAUUAAGAAUAAUUAGAAACAACCGGUGUUGGACCAUGUUGGGCAAUGGGCAUCCAUUCGACAAACAGCUCGAUGACCAUUUCGGUAUCCAGCGAUGAAAACUUACUCCUCAGCUGAAUUUUCCUAUGUCGUACUAAAUGAGAUGGUUGUCCACCAUUCGACAUCGGAUGCCACUGCUUCCAGUCAAUCUGCUGGACAGUAUUUCCGGCUUAAAAGAUUCAUUUCUCAGAUUGUGUGAUUGUUUGAAUUUGCGGUGAACUUAUUUGUUUGUUAUUUUGUUUGUUUUCUGCUCUUCGUCUUGUUGUGGAGCGUCUAGAGUAGCAAAUCAAUGUCAAACAGUGCGCGUAUUGGCCCAGCCGAAGCCACUGGAUAAAGUCUGAUUGGCGGCGAUCGUGCGUCCACGGCCAGAUUUAGUGAUGGUAAGUCAGAGAACGCUGCCGUAAUUGUUGUCAUAAAAGUGGUGAUUUAUGACUCCGGCCCCUCUAGUUAAAUUUCGUCGUCAGAAACAAAUAGGUUUUCCAUUCAGGGUUCCCCAUCUCUCAUACCGGUCUGCAACAGCAGCAGUCAACGGCGUAUGCAACGAAUAAUUUUUAUAUCAAGGUUUUUUAUUUAAAUGCUACAGGGCAUUAAUGUUAGUAGUUUUGUGAGUAAGAGUUGAUUGGGGAAGUAUUGGGUUAGUACAUGCAUGGUUUUAUAUAUUAUAAGAACAGACAUGGGAAACAUGGGGAGGCAAUCAAUCAAAAUUCAAUCAAAAAAUCAAAAGGCAAAGGCCAUGUGGAAGGAGUAGGAAAUGAACCUGGGGCCUUUCUUAUCAUCACUAGGGGCCGCAACCAUUACACAGUGGUCCUACAUCCAAUUUGAUAAAUCUCCGGAAUUUCAUCUGAUCCUUUAAAGGGUUGGUUGAGAAUGCUGUGGAAUGUUUCAUUUUAGGCUACACAGGAGGUAGCCAUUGGUUAUAGCUCCAAAUCGUCACGAGUUACGUGUUUGAAUCUUGUCGGGAAAAUGUAGGACUAAGAGGGUAGGAAGCAGAAAUGCAGAGAACUCUGUUGCAUCGUCCAGAAAAAUGCGAAUAUAUAACAAAAAAGAAACGUAUUAAGUUAAAAUUUUAUUUUUCAACGGGAUAUUUACAUCCAUUGGCAUGAUUUCAUUUAUAGCUGAUAUGUUAGCAAAGUUACUAUAAAUGCGUAUCGAAGAGGACGUUACAUAGAGUGUUUAAGGAUUGAUCUAUAGUAGUGUUGGUAGUUCUAAGGGGAUGGGCACAAUACACGUGACUAUUUCAGUCUUCAUUCUGUAGUGUUGUGUUGGCAAUGGAGGAGUUUGUUUGUCUGAUGUGUGUUCUGGUCAUCUCUGUGGACUAGUUGGUUGAACUGAGUGUUUGCUUGUCAAGGUUGUUUUUAGUCCCUGAUGCGCUGAACUCUUGCUUUUAUACGACAGUAUAAAACUAAAUCAAUAAAUGUGUAAUUAAAAAUAACUUGUGCCUAGUGUCUGUUUUGUUUUUAAUUUCCUGGUGUUGCAGGAUGCAGACAUUGUGGAUUGAUCACCGUUUGGAGUAAAGUAUUUGGCUGUUAGUGAUGUGUUGGCGGUUUUUUUAUGGUGUGAAGAUGAUUAUUUAGUGAAGACCAUAUUACGAUAAAACGUAGCCUACCGUCGACUAUUUUGUUCAAAAUGUGCCAUCAAAAUGACACACUUACAGGAUUCAUCAUAAUUAUCUGAUGUAAGAAUUCGACUGGCUUGAUCACCAACCCCAUCACGGACCAAUCUCUCAUUCCAUCUUCUAGAGAACCUUGGCUAUCUGUUUGGUGGUU
rnacentral:lncRNA from 1 species